GUGGAUUAGAUACCCGGGUAGUCCUAGCCGUAAACGAUGGAUACUAGGUGUAGGGAGUAUCGACCCUCUCUGUGCCGUAGCUAACGCGUUAAGUAUCCCGCCUGGGGAGUACGGUCGCAAGAUUGAAACUCAAAGGAAUUGACGGGGGCCCGCACAAGCGGUGGAGUAUGUGGUUUAAUUCGAUGCAACGCGAAGAACCUUACCAGGGCUUGACAUGUCGCGAAUCCUCUUGAAAGGGAGGAGUGCCUUCGGGAGCGCGAACACAGGUGGUGCAUGGCCGUCGACAGCU
rnacentral:rRNA from 1 species